UGGGGAAUAUUGCACAAUGGGCGCAAGCCUGAUGCAGCCAUGCCGCGUGUAUGAAGAAGGCCUUCGGGUUGUAAAGUACUUUCAGCGGGGAGGAAGGGAGUAAAGUUAAUACCUUUGCUCAUUGACGUUACCCGCAGAAGAAGCACCGCCUAACUCCGUGCCAGCAGCCGCGGUAAUACGGAGGGUGCAAGCGUUAAUCGGAAUUACUGGGCGUAAAGCGCACGCAGGCGGUUUGUUAAGUCAGAUGUGAAAUCCCCGGGCUCAACCUGGGAACUGCAUCUGAUACUGGCAAGCUUGAGUCUCGUAGAGGGGGGUAGAAUUCCAGGUGUAGCGGUGAAAUGCGUAGAGAUCUGGAGGAAUACCGGUGGCGAAGGCGGCCCCCUGGACAAAGACUGACGCUCAGGUGCGAAAGCGUGGGGAGCAAACAGG
rnacentral:rRNA from 1 species